rfam:Aedes albopictus isolate Foshan contig27332, whole genome shotgun sequence.
GCAGCUAUAGUUCUGUGGUAGAGCGUAGGGUUCUCACGCAGCGACUAUCGGUUCGAAUCCGAUAAGCGGCA